rnacentral:rRNA from 1 species
GAGUUUGUAUCAUGGCUCAGGAUGAACGCUAGCGACAGGCCUAACACAUGCAAGUCGAGGGGCAGCGGAGAGGUAUCAAUACCUUUGCCGGCGACCGGCGCACGGGUGAGUAACACGUAUGCAAUCCACCUGUAACAGGGGGAUAACCCGGAGAAAUCCGGACUAAUACCCCAUAAUAUGGGCGCUCCGCAUGGAGAGCCCAUUAAAGAGAGCAAUUUUGGUUACAGACGAGCAUGCGCUCCUA